rnacentral:rRNA from 1 species
AUUGAACGCUGGCGGCAGGCCUAACACAUGCAAGUCGGGCGAGAGGCGGACGUGAGAGUAAUGUAUGUGGAUCUGCCUGAUGGAGGAGGUUAAUUCAUGGAAACGGUAGCUAAUACCGCAUAGCUUCACAUGAUCCGAUAUGGGAUUAGCUGGUAGGUAAGGGAACGGCUUACCUCGGCGACGAACCCUAGCUGGUCUGAGAGGAUGAUCAGCCACACUGGGACUGAGACACGGCCCAGACUCCUACGGGAGGCAGCAGUGGGGAAUAUUGCACAAUGGGCGCAAGCCUGAUGCAGCCAUGCCGCGUGUAUGAAGAAGGCCUUCGGGUUGUAAAGUACUUUCAGUCGGGAGGCGUUACCGACAGAAGAAGCACCGGCUAACUCCGUGCCAGCAGCCGCGGUAAUUC